CCUUCCCAACCCUAACCCCUCAGGGCUGAAAGGGACCUGUGAGAUCAUCUGGUCCCCUUCCCCUCAUUUUACAGAUGGGAAAAGUGAGACCCAGAGAGGGGCAGAGAGCAGGUGGCAGAAGCCUGAUGAAAACCCUGUUCUAAGGUACAGCUCAACACACUACACACCACAGCAACACACACAUAGACAACUCUGGAGCCCCAGAGGCCAGCAGCUUUGAUUCCUCUGGCCACGCAGGUGUGGCCCCAGGGCUGCCUCAGCAGGAGAGCUGGACUCACCAUUCCCGAGAGAUAGUCCUGGUUGAACUGCCCCGCAUAGGUGGCCACGUUAUCCAGCCCGAUGGGGGGCAUGCUGGGCGGAGGAGGGUAGGCAGCACCUCCCCAGGGACCACCACCUGGUGCAGCUGGUGGGUAGCCACCUGGGGGCGGGGGAUAGCCAGGGUAGCUCAUGGUUAGAUCUUUGACUCAGCAACUCCACUUCUGUAAGUCUCUUCCCCAGACACACACCUGGCCACGGGGACUCCGGACGCGAGGGGCGAAAUGGGACGUGGGCGGGAGUGGCUCUCUCCGCGGGCGUCCCGGGCGCGGCGCCUGGGUUCUGCCUAGGGGCUGGGUCCCACUCCCGCUCGCGGGGCCCGCGGGGCACUCGGGGCACUGGGGAGCCGCGGGCGCAGCAGCCGUCAGCGCCGGGCGGAAAACUCCGCGGGCGCGGCUGCCCC
rnacentral:lncRNA from 1 species